UACGGAAGGGGCAAGCGUUGUUCGGAAUCAUUGGGCGUAAAGGGCGCGUAGGUGGUUCUGUAUGUCUACCGUGAAAGCAUACAGCUCAACUGUAUUUUGUCGGUAGAAACUGCAGGACUUGAGGCUGGGAGGGGCUGGUGGAAUUCCCUGUGUAGCGGUGAAAUGCGUAGAGAUGGGGGAGAACACUCGUGGUGAAGGCGGCCAGCUAGACCAGUUCUGACACUGAGGCGCGACAGCGUGGGGAGCAAACAGG
rnacentral:rRNA from 1 species